rnacentral:rRNA from 1 species
GAAUUUUUUGAUUAAAGUACCUUUUAGGUGGUCAAAUGACUAGGAUUAGAUACCCUAUUAGUCCACUCUUAAUUAACCUGGGUAGUAGUAUCGAAACCUAAAGAAUUUGGCGGUUUCUAAACCUACUAGAGGAACCUGCCCCAUAAACGACAAUCCACGAAAAAAUUCACCCGGGCUAGUUAUGCAGCUUAUAUACCGUCGUUUAGAGGACUAAAUAAAUAGAUCCUCUUAAAAGCUUAGGCUAAUAAAUCAGAUCAAGGUGUAGCUCAUGCCCGGGAGAGGGUGGGUUACAAUGAAAAUUCAUACGGAGUUUCUAUUUUAUGGUAGAAAAGAAGGUGGAUUUAGAAGUAAGACCUAAUAUACUGAAAAAGGCUCUCAGAAAUGUACACAUCGCCCGUCGCUCUCUUGUCCGAAGAGAUAAGUCGUAACAAAGUAGGUGGACCGGAAGGUCUAUCUCGAAAGA